CACGUAGGGCGCAAGCGUUGUCCGGAAUUAUUGGGCGUAAAGAGCUCGUAGGCGGUCUGUUACGUCUGCUGUGAAAACCCAGGGCUUAACCCUGGGCUUGCAGUGGAUACGGGUAGACUAGAGGCAGGUAGGGGAGAAUGGAAUUCCCGGUGUAGCGGUGAAAUGCGCAGAUAUCGGGAGGAACACCGGUGGCGAAGGCGACUCUUUGGUCUGUAACUGACGCUGAGGCGCGAAAGCGUGGGGAGCAAACAGG
rnacentral:rRNA from 1 species